rnacentral:rRNA from 1 species
AACGAACGCUGGCGGCAUGCCUAACACAUGCAAGUCGAACGAGACCUUCGGGUUUAGUGGCGCACGGGUGCGUAACGCGUGGGAACCUGCCCUUAGGUUCGGAAUAACUCCCCGAAAGGGGUUCUAAUACCGGAUAAUGUCUUCGGACCAAAGAUUUAUCGCCUUUGGAUGGGCCCGCGUUGGAUUAGCUAGUUGGUAGGGUAAAAGCCUACCAAGGCGACGAUCCAUAGCUGGUCUGAGAGGAUGAUCAGCCACACUGGGACUGAGACACGGCCCAGACUCCUACGGGAGGCAGCAGUUGGGAAUAUAGGACAAGGGGCGAAAGCCUGAUACAGCGAGGCCGCGUUAGUGAUGAAGGCCUUGGGGUUGUAAAGCUCUUUUACCCGGGAUGAUAAUGACAGUACCGGGAAAAUAAGCACCGGCUAACUCCGUG